rnacentral:snRNA from 1 species
AUCAUUUCUCGGCCUUUUGGCUAAGAUCCAAUGUAGUAUCUGUUCUUAUCAGUUAGUAUCUGAUACAUCCUCCAUCUGAGGACAGUAUAUUAAAUGGAUUUUUGGAGCAGGGAAUUGGAAUAGGAGCUUGCUCGGCCCACUCCAUGCAUUGACCUGGAAUUGCAGUAUCUCCCGGAGCAGUGUAUCACCU